UUGCUUUGGUAGCAUAUAUCCUGACAUUGGAAUAAUAUAGAGAAUAUUACCAUGGCCCCUGUGCAAAGAUGGCUUGCAAAUUUGUGAGGCAUUUCAUAUUGAA
rnacentral:snRNA from 1 species